UAACCGAUCUAUGAUGCACCGUUCUCGUAUUAAACUUCUUCGUUUUUUGUCAACUAUCUGAUUUACAGCUUUCAAUAAUUCGUCCACUGUCUGUGCCGAAGGAAUCUGUAAACAAUCAAAAUUUCAUCGAUUAGAUGCUGACGAUCAUUUGUAAAUAUUAACGUACGCAGAAAUGCUUAUAUGAUUACCUGAGAGAUAUCGAAUGGUUCAUUCAUGGAUGUAUGCAUGUAUUUCAUUAAGGCUACAAUAAUAUCUCUCUAAUUGACGCCCAGAUUGACCACAAAAAUGGACAAUUUGGGAAGAGGAGAUACGAUUAUUCGAGUCUUGCGGUUUAUUUUUAUAGUUAUAAAUUGUCCACAAUUAUAACAGAUGACAGAUGGUGAGGUUGUACCAAGGGAUCACGCAAUUAUAAAUGGAAAGGAUGUGUCUGGAUGACUGCUUGGAAGUUGGCACUUCUUACCCUAGCAAAUGCAAAAUGCGAACAGCGAGGGAAAUAUGUUCGCAGUCUUCAAUGAACUCGCAGAGAUGUGCCAAACCUGUUUUGCGAUCUGCAAAACAGUUGAAGAACACUAAUGGACAAAAACAGAAAACAAGAAACUAGGAAGCCGAAGAUUACUAUGAUUCGGACGAGGACAAUUUUUUAGAUAGGACAGGAUCAAUAGAAAGAAAAUGUGAACAAAGAAUGCGGCUGGCUGGCAAAUUGGAAGAAAAAGUGGAAACAUACAAUUCCUUACUAAGCUUGACAAUUGUGCAUUAUACAUUUCUCAUAAUAGACGUAUCAUUGUAUCCGUAAUUCUUGGAUUUCUUUCAGCUUGAAAAGUAUGCGAAAAUUCUAAAACAGAUUUCGCAUCUGACAGAUUCGAUUAAGGUUAUGUCAAGGUUAUGUACGCAUUCUUUAAAUGCGUGAAUGUGAUUAUGUAUCAACAUCAUCCAAGUUGAGGAGCAAUUGCCGUCUCCAUAGUUUCGGUCGUCUAGAAUUUACGUAUGAAUCGAGGAUAACGGGGAGCACGUAUGAUUAAAACCUCGAGCAAAUAUUCUUUUCAACAAUUUUGUUUAUUACUUUAUUAUUUUUAUUAUAUUAUUUAUUUAUAGUAGGUAUUAUAUAGUAGUAUUUAUUAAUUUAUUAUUUAUUAUUUAUUAUCAGUGAAAAAAUAAGUAGUCUUUUCAACAGGUAUCUCACACACAUUUUUAUCCUUUAACCACUUUCACAAUUACACUAUCGACGGUGCUUAUAAUAAUUUUGGGCUUCGUUCAACAAAUAUACAGUAAUAGUCAAAGCUUUAAGAGAAUUUAAAAAUACCUUGACAUAACCUUGUGCAGGAAACUUCUGCUUCAUCAUGUUAUCAAUGAAAACAAUCUAGUUUGAAUAACUAAUUUUCAUACAUAAUAAUUUUUUUUCAUACAUUUUCAACAUGAUAAACGCAUAAAAAGUUUUUCAUGCGAUUUUAUACUGUAACAUGAGAUUUGUUGAUAAUAGGAUGUUUUUCUACUGUAAGCAAUAUCAAAAAGUUGACGAUCAUAUAUCUCACGUCAUCACGUCAAUAUAUCCACUUUGCAAAAUAUUCCGGGUAUUAAUAUGAUCGAUUUUUUCCGUUUGAUCACGUGCGCUUGAAUUGUACAAUAGCUUAAUGUGUAUGUAAUUACACAAUAAAGGUAUACACAAAACAAAUGCAAGCGUUUCUUAAAAAACAUUCUUUUUUCUUUUUUUACAGAUGAAAUAUGUACAGAUUUAUUGUGUAUUACGUAAUAAAGUGACAUGACGAAAUA